UCAAAUGAAAACCUACAACGGGUUACGGGAAUGAAAACCUACAACGGUAAGGAAAACCUACAACGGGUUAUUUGGAAUGUUCAACGAUGAAUUCAAGGUUUUUACAGGCCGAUCCUCAGGUUUCUCUUCUCUGAAUUCUUCAGCCAUAUGGAGAUUCGAACAUGUGACUUAAGGUUCAAACCCUGGAAUUAAAAUCUUUUUUCACAUUCUGGCUGGUAAAAGAUGAAGAAGCAAAACAGAGGAUCAGAAAAUAGCAACCAAAUGAAAUCAAAUUCCCUACAACCCUUUCUGCGCCUUCCAUUACAAAGAAGAUUGUAAUUGAAUUAACACUAUAUGCCGCAUUUGGAAUGGUGUUAAGUUGUGUGCCUUUGCCCUGUUCAAUGAUGAAUUCUUUGGAAGGAUCAAAGGUUUUUACAGGAUUUCUCCUCUGAAUUCUUCAGCCAUAUGGAGAUUCGAACCUGUGACUUAAGGUUCAAACCCUGGAAUUAAAUACCUCUUUUAGCUUCGUUCAACGAAUCGGCAUCAAAUAUGGAUAUACAUGUUUGAAUUCAAAAUUUUUUUUGGCUGGUAAAAGAUGAAGAAGCAAAACAGAGGAUCAGAAAAUAGCAACCAAAUGAAAUCAAAUUCCCUAUAACCCUUUCUGCGCCUUCCAUUACAAAGAAGAUUGUAAUUGAAUUAACACUAUAUGCCACAUUUGGAAUGGUGUUAAGUUGUGUGCCUUUGCCCUGUUCAACGAUGAAUUCUUUGGAAGGAUCAAAGGUUUUUACAGGAUUUCUCCUCUGAAUUCUUCAGCCAUAUGGAGAUUCGAACCUGUGACUUAAGGUUCAAACCCUGGAAUUAAAUACCUCUUUUAGCUUCGUUCAACGAAUCGGCAUCAAAUAUGGAUAUACAUGUUCGAAUUCAAAAUUUUUUUUGGCUGGUAAAAAAUGAAGAGGCAAAAUGGAGAAUCAGUGGUAGCAAUCAAAUGAGAUCAAAUCCCCCCUUCCAG